rnacentral:rRNA from 1 species
AAUAUUUUACAAUGGGUGAAAGCCUGAUCCAGCCAUCCCGCGUGUGUGAGGGAGGUCUUCGUAUUGUAACGCACUUUAAGUUGAGCGGAAGGGCAGUAAGGUAAUACCUAGCUGUUUUUACGUUAUCGACAGAAUAAGCACCGGCUAACUUCGUGCCAGCAGCCGCGGUAAUACGCAGGGUGCAAGCGUUAAUCGGAAUUACUGGGCGUAAAGCGGGAGUAGGUGGUUUGUUAAGUUGGAAGUGAAAGCCCCGGGCUCAACCUGGGAACUGCCUUCAAAACUGGCAAGCUAGAGUAUGGCAGAGGGUGGUGGAAUUUCCUGUGUAGCGGUGAAAUGCGUAGAUAUAGGAAGGAACACCAGUGGCGAAGGCGACCACCUGGGCUAAUACUGACACCGAGGUGCGAAAGCAUGGGGAGCAAACAG